GUGUGACAGACAGCUUCUGUGGCACUAAAGUGCUUAUAGUGCAGGUAGUGUCCACUCAUCUACUGCAUUACGAGCACUUCCAGUGCUGCCAGCUGGAGAGCCCCAG
ensembl:miRNA Mir20a microRNA 20a